GGAGACAUCCUGCUGUUCGGGACGUUGCUGAUGAAUGCCGGGGCGGUGCUGAACUUUAAGCUGUGAGAAAAAGAAGGACACGCAGGGCUUUGGGGAGGAGUCCAGGGAGCCCAGCACAGGUGACAACAUCCGGGAAUUCUUGCUGAGCCUCAGAUACUUUCGAAUCUUCAUCGCCCUGUGGAACAUCUUCAUGAUGUUCUGCAUGAUUGUGCUGUUCGGCUCUUGAAUCCCAGCGAUGAAACCAGGAACUCACUUUCCCGGGAUGCCGAGUCUCCAUUCCUCCAUUCCUGAUGACUUCAAGAAUGUUUUUGACCAGAAAACCGACAACCUUCCCAGAAAGUCCAAGCUCGUGAUCCGGAACAUGGUGGCGGUGCUGGAAGUCAUCUCCAGCCUGGAGAAAUACCCUAUUACCAAAGAGGCACUUGAGGAAACACGACUUGGGAAGCUCAUCAACGACGUCCGCAAGAA
rnacentral:lncRNA from 1 species